rnacentral:rRNA from 1 species
AACGCGAAGAACCUUACCUACUCUUGACAUGUCCGAGAGCCUGGAGAGAUCCAGGUGUGCCCGAAAGGGAAUCGGAACACAGGUGCUGCAUGGCUGUCGUCAGCUCGUGUCGUGAGAUGUUGGGUUAAGUCCCGCAACGAGCGCAACCCUUGUCAUUAGUUGCUACAUUCAGUUGGGCACUCUAAUGGGACUGCCGGUGACAAACCGGAGGAAGGUGGGGAUGACGUCAAGUCCUCAUGGCCCUUAUGGGUAGGGCUUCACACGUAAUACAAUGGCGCAUACAGAGGGCUGCAAACCCGCGAGGGGGAGCCAAUCCCAAAAAGUGCGUCGUAGUCCGGAUUGUUCUCUGCAACUCGAGAGCAUGAAGUCGGAAUCGCUAGUAAUCGCGGAUCAGCAUGUCGCGGAGAAUACGUUCCCGGGUCUUGUACACACGC